rnacentral:rRNA from 1 species
GACGAACGCUGGCGGCGUGCUUAACACAUGCAAGUCGAACGGAAAGGCCCUGCUUUUGUGGGGUGCUCGAGUGGCGAACGGGUGAGUAACACGUGAGUAACCUGCCCUUGACUUUGGGAUAACUUCAGGAAACUGGGGCUAAUACCGGAUAGGAGCUCCUGCUGCAUGGUGGGGGUUGGAAAGUUUCGGCGGUUGGGGAUGGACUCGCGGCUUAUCAGCUUGUUGGUGGGGUAGUGGCUUACCAAGGCUUUGACGGGUAGCCGGCCUGAGAGGGUGACCGGCCACAUUGGGACUGAGAUACGGCCCAGACUCCUACGGGAGGCAGCAAUGGGGAAUAUUGCACAAUGGGCGGAAGCCUGAUGCAGCAACGCCGCGUGCGGGAUGACGGCCUUCGGGUUGUAAACCGCUUUCGCCUGUGACGAAGCGUGAGUGACGGUAAUGGGUAAAGAAGCACCGGCUAACUACGUGC